rnacentral:misc_RNA from 1 species
AAGUCGUAACAAGGUUUCCGUAGGUGAACCUGCGGAAGGAUCAUUAAAGAAUUAGGCUUCGCGGCCAAGUUCUCACCCUUUGUAUACCGAAACCAUGUUGCUUUGGCCGCCCUUGCAUUGCUCGGCCGCAGAGUUAAUCAACCUAGAAUCUCUGCUGUCUGAGUACUAUGCAAUAGUUAAAA